GUCUGUGAUGGCGUCCGCCAGUAAGCUAGAUACUUGGAGGCCAGGGUGAGUAGUUUCGUGGGACCGGGAGUACUGGCAUAUGUGUGCUCAUGUUGGUCGGGCAUCCACGCUAAGUAAGACGCCGAUAUGGAUGACCCAUCGGAGUGAGGGUUGUCCAGGUCGUCCAAGGAGGGACGGAUCGACCCAGGGGGAAACAACAGGCAGACGUCCUCGUGUGGUAUGUUAGCUGGAUAGAACCUGUGGAUGAUGUUCACAUGACAGUCUGGCUGAUGCGUGAAGACCGCCUCUUU
rnacentral:SRP_RNA from 1 species